GACGAACGCUGGCGGCGUGCUUAACACAUGCAAGUCGAACGGAAAGGCCCUGCUUUUGUGGGGUGCUCGAGUGGCGAACGGGUGAGUAACACGUGAGUAACCUGCCCUUGACUUUGGGAUAACUUCAGGAAACUGGGGCUAAUACCGGAUAGGAGCUCCUGCUGCAUGGUGGGGGUUGGAAAGUUUCGGCGGUUGGGGAUGGACUCGCGGCUUAUCAGCUUGUUGGUGGGGUAGUGGCUUACCAAGGCUUUGACGGGUAGCCGGCCUGAGAGGGUGACCGGCCACAUUGGGACUGAGAUACGGCCCAGACUCCUACGGGUGGCAGCAGUGGGGCAUAUUGCACAGUGGGCGGAAGCCUGAUGCAGCAACGCCGCGUGCGGGAUGACGGCCAUCGGGUUGUAAACCGCUUUCGCCUGUGACGAAGCGUGAGUGACGGUAAUGGGUAAAGAAGCACCGGCUAACUACGUG
rnacentral:rRNA from 1 species